GUGGGGAAUUUUGCACAAUGGACGAAAGUCUGAUGCAGCGACGCCGCGUGAGGGAUGGAGGCCUUCGGGUUGUGAACCUCUUUCGCUCAUGGUCAAGCCGCAGCUUUGGGUUGUGGUGAGGGUAGUGGGUAAAGAAGCGCCGGCUAACUACGUGCCAGCAGCCGCGGUAAUACGUAGGGCGCGAGCGUUGUCCGGAAUUAUUGGGCGUAAAGGGCUUGUAGGCGGUUGGUUGCGUCUGCCGUGAAAUCCUCUGGCUUAACUGGGGGCGUGCGGUGGGUACGGGCUGGCUUGAGUGCGGUAGGGGAGACUGGAAUUCCUGGUGUAGCGGUGGAAUGCGCAGAUAUCAGGAGGAACACCGGUGGCGAAGGCGGGUCUCUGGGCCGUUACUGACGCUGAGGAGCGAAAGCGUGGGGAGCGAACAGGAUUAGAAACCCUAGUAGUCC
rnacentral:rRNA from 1 species